rnacentral:lncRNA from 1 species
AUGUGUCCUCUCUGCCAGGUCAAACGCAACCUACUGAAUGUCUCCUACCGCAUCGCACAGUACACAGACAUCAUCUCAGACCUGCGCAGGGAGAUUGAGCAUCUCAAAUCAAAAAUUGAGAAGCAAGAGAAGAAAAGUGAACCUGACAUCCCGGAUGUUCAAGUCACAGUCGGCCCCCACAACACAGAAGAAGAGAGCCACUUGCAGAUGAACAAGAUCCGGGCGCAGCUCAUCGGAGCCUUUAAGGAGCAGAUGGAGAUGCGGCGCAGCCUGGUGGAGUUAGAGAAUACCAACCUCGAGCUGCAUGUGGACCUGUCCCGCCACCUACUGACCAUUGCAGACUGGGAGCGGGAGAAGAGUGACCUCCACAUGCAAAGGGACCGAGGCGAGCUGGAGAAGGAUGAGGAGCAGGCAGACACUGAUGGGGAGGAUGCAUCCACAGAGCCACACGAGGUGGCUGUGGCCAGAGAGGAAGUCAACCUACUGUUAGCCGAGCAGCGGAAAACCUCAGCCCUCAAGGCCAGCCUGGAGCAGCGGCUAGCCCUCGCCAAGGAGAAAGCGUCGCAGAUGGAGACGCUGCUGCCCACACAGGUGACCAGUGAGGACCAGCAGGAGGUGCUGCGGUUGCUGUGCAGGGCUCAUGAGCUGGAGGUGGAGAACACAGAGCUGAGGGCCGACGGCCUGUGUCGCAAGAGCCUGCUGUGCCAGAAGGACCUGGUGAUCCAGCGCUGCCAGCAGCACCGGCGGCUCUGUGAGCAGCUCAUCCAGGGGCAGCGGCAGUUGAUGCAGGACAGCGGCGUGCAGGUGCCAGAGGCCCUGGAGAGGCAGUACCAGCUGUACUUCCGGGAGCUGGAAGAGGGCACCCUGGACCGCUUGCUGCUGCUGCACUGUGGGCUGGCCAGCUCACUGCAGGUGAAUCCGACCCGCUGUGACCACCAGUACCCAAAUAUGGGUGUGAUCAGGCAUACAGUGGAUGUUUAAAGUUUUAAAA